CAUUGAUCCACAACACAAACUGACCACACAGUCCAAAAACAUUGGCAGACAAGCGGGUGAGGGGAGGGGAAGAAUCCCAGGAGGGACCUCCAAGCCAGAAAUGAGGUGGCCAAGGCAGAGUUAUUCAAGAACACUUCUCCCAUAUGAUGCUUGGUACACACAGUCGCUCCUUGUGUUGUUUUUAUGAGUGAAGUGUUUGCAAAAAUGAAACUGUCUGGGACCAGGACUGCACCUCAUGCUGCCAGCAUCAUCUCCCUGGCCUCAGACCUGGCAGUUCCUUACUGAAUGAAAGACAAACUCGAAGCACACUUCCUGUCUUAAGAUGAUUCUUCAGUGUUCUUAGAAAAAGAAGAGAUGCCAUCCCUGUGUGUGCUAAGCAUCCUGCAUUAACUCUAGGGCUGCAGAUAUGGGGCUGGGAGCUGACACUUGGACCACCUUGCCAGGAAAUGGAAGAAAGCAGCCACUGGCAAAGGAGACCCAGAAACAAACACCCUCUAAACCUAAUUUUUCAAAAUCUUCAGACGUGGGUUAAAAAAAGAAAGAAAAGUUAGAGGGUUUUAGUGAUGAGAGGAAAUUGCACUGCAAUCCUCUUUACUGUAAAACGGACCUCACCAAUGCAGCCAAUAACAAGUUAAGUCAUUUAGUUUAACUGGCAUCUGUGAAGGGCACUUUGGGGAGGGGGUGGGGCAACCAGGCUAUGAUAGAAGGCCAACGGUUUUGGAAAACCGUUGUACAGUUUUGCUGAGCAUGACCACUGAUUGCUUGGGUGACCUUGCACAGGGCAGGCUUCUCUGAACCUGUCUCCUCAUCAAUAAAAUCAGUAACUUUGGCUGGCAUGGUUCAACCUCAAGACUCACUGUGUGGAGCAGCCAGGCUGACACGAUGUGGUAAACAUCUUGGCACUCACUCUACCACAGCCAAAGAUGAGCCAAGCAGGCCUGCUGCUAGGCACUCAUGACCCACAGAGUAUUCUUCUCAUAGACUGUGAUUUAGCAGAGAGACAAAGAAUACUAAAGUGAGAAGCAAUGAGUUCCUAUAGCAAGACUGUGGUGGCUUCAAAGAAAAUGGCCCCCAAAGGGAAUGGAACUAUUAGAAGGUGUAGCCCUAGGAGGAGGAGUAGUGUAGUCUCAUUGGAGGGAGUAUGUCACUGUGGAUACAGACUUUGAGGUCUUAUAUGUGCUCAAGAUACUACCCAGGGUCUCAGACCAUUUCCUGCUGCUUGUUCAAGAUGUAGAACUCUUAACUACCUCUCCAGCACCAUGUCUGCCUGAAUGCCACCAUGUCCCACCAUGAUAGAAUAGACCUCUGAAACUGUCAGUCACUCCAUUAAAUGUUUUCCUUUAUGAGAGUUGCUGUGGUCAUGGUGUCUCUUCACAGUGAUUGAAACCCUAAGACAAAAGUUGGUACCAGGGACUGUACUGUGGUACUCCUGACCAAGAUUUUGUUUGAAGGAAUAUGAACCUUGGGACUGUGGAUUAGAAAAACAGUUGAAUGCUUUAAGUGCUGCUUAAUGGGCCAUCCUAGUAGGAACAUGGAAGACAGUGGUGCUGAUUUGAAUUGUGGGUGCCUGGAUCAAGAGGUUUCAGAGAAAAAUAUUAGUAUGUGGUCUAGAGACUGGUCUUGUGAUAUUUUGGUGAAGAAUGUGAUUGUCUUUUGCCCUUUUUGCCUGAAAAGUCUGCCUAAGGCUAAAUUGAAGAGUUUUGGAUUAAUUCCACUGCCAGAGGAAAUCUCUGUUGUGUGGUUAUUAGUGGUAACUCUAAUGAAGAUUUAUAGUAAAGGAGUGCAAGCUGAGCAAAUAAAAAUACAAAAUGUGUUUUCUAUUGAGAAAAGGGGCACCAGGAAGUGGAAAAGAUCUAAGUCCUGUGUUCAAGGAG
rnacentral:lncRNA from 1 species